UGCUAAUCACAACAGCUCAUUAGAGACUGGCAGAGUUUUUUAUCACAGGCCAAUCAUGUCUGCAGCCUCUGCCCAGAAUGUACCAAAAUUCCAGACUUCAGAAGGAAAGCAGAUGUUCAGUAUAAACCAUGAACAGCCUAGGCACAGUGAGACACUCUUAUCAGUUGUUUCCAUGGUAACCGCAGGGGUCUCCUGGUGGCUGGCUGGGCUGAAUGUGUGCCGCAGGCCUGGAAGCAUCUCCCUGCCUGCCCGUGGCUAAUCUCUCCUUCACUUCGCUGAGGAAAGUGAGUGGAGAGCGUCAAAGGAUCCACUGACCUCUGUCGGAUUUGUCUGGAAAUUACUCUCAGCAGGUGCAGGAACCCCGUGGGCCUGGUUCCGGCCCCCUCUCUUGACCCUGAAGCCUUCAGCACAGUUCCCGAGUCUGGGCAAGUCCUUGCCUUGAGAGCAGGAGUGGACGCUUCCCAGGGGACAAGCAGCACGCCCCCUUCUGGUGUGAAGGGGCAGCACAGCAUGGCUGUUAGAGGCAGUUGGGGCAGGAGGUCAUGGCAGCAAGGUGCAAACUACACUGAGUUAAUGGCACCAAGUAUCCGGAUCCAGCAGCUCCAAGGCAGGCUCUCCACUCGAGGUGGCGAAAUGGAGCUACAGUUUCAAGCCUAGAGAGCAUCUUCCUCCUCUAAGCAACAGAAAGAAGAAGGGAGGGUCUCUAUCAUUGAAAGUUUGGAUUAUACUACUCAUUGGAUCAGGUUAGUUUGUUUAUCAAUAUUUAGUCCAAUGAUUAUGGCCAAAGACGUGAAGAGCGGUGACUGGUUGAGGGUUGGUCUGUCUGACCAUCUCCCAUGCACAGGCUGGGAACAGCCCAAUCCAAACUACGUGGGCAAGAAAAAUCAGGGUCCAUCACAAGAGAUAUGACUACUCCAGUUUUAUACCUUAUAUCAUCAUUAUGGGAAAAUAGCUAUUUUCUUUACACAAAUGAGGCAACUGUUGCAAAGUGUAAUAAUAUUGCACUACCGCAUAGCUAAUAGAUCAUGAUUUGAACCCCUGUCAAAGUCCAUGUUCCUGAUACUAAAUUCUCAUCCUCAGUUUUCCUCCGUGCUACAUUGUGAAGAUGAGACUCAGAAAUCUUUAAAUUUGGUUCCUCAAAGCACACUGAUUUUAACAUUCUGAAGCUGGCAUAAUAAUGACAAUAGUUUCUUUAGCCGGUAUUAUGCAUUUCUAGCUAUGUUUCUUUCCAUUAUUUUCUCACUUACUGGUGAUUUAAGCAAGGCAAGUAUGUAUUUCCCCACAUCUUUGGAGCUAAGUGUGAUGAAAAUAAUUUCCAAGGUGUCCUUGAUUGAAUGUUCGUGUCAUCCCUCCAUUCUUAUGUUGAAGCCCUAACCCCUAGUGCAGCUAUGUGUGGAGGUGGGCCCUCUAAAGAAGUGAUUAAGGGUAAAUGAGGUCAUAAAGGUGGGGCCCUGAACUGAUAGGAUAGUGUUUUCAAAAGAAGAGACACCAGCCAUCUCUCCCUUUCCCUAUCCCUCCCCACCCCACAUCCCUACCUCUCACCUUUCACCUCUCACCUCCCACUUCCCGCCUCCCACGGGAGAACACGGGGAGAAGAGAGAAGGGAAGCCAGUAAGAGCUCUCGCCAGAAACCAGCCGCUGCUGGACCUUGAUGCCGGACUUAGAGCUGACGUACUGUGAGAAACACAUUUCUGUUGUUUAAGCCAACGAGUCUGUGUGGUUGUGUUGUAGCAGGCGGAUCCGACUAGCACACAUGGACACCCAGUGCGUGAGUGGGAAAGCCGGGAUUAGAAACCGGGUCUCCUUUCUUUUAUUCCAGAGUCCUUUCAACC